AAUGAACGUUGGCGGCGUGGAUUAGGCAUGCAAGUCGAACGGGCCGCAAGGCCAGUGGCGCAAGGGUGAGUAAGGCGACGGUAACCAACCCCAGGAUUGGGUAUAGCCGCGGGAAACCGCGGGUAAUCCCCAGCGACGCAACGACACCGGCAUCGGUGUUUUGCCAAAGCUUCGGCGUCGUGGGACGGGCUGUCGUGGUAUUAGCUAGUUGGCGGGGUAAUGGCCCACCAAGGCUCUGAUGCCUACCGGGCGUGCGAGCGUGGCCCGGCACACUGGGACUGAGACACUGCCCAGACUCCUACGGGAGGCUGCAGUCGAGAAUCUUCGGAAAUGGGCGCAAGCCUGACCGAGCGACGCCGCGUGGAGGAUGAAGGCCUUCGGGUUGUAAACUCCUGUCGAGGGGGAAAAAGGGCCGCAAGGCCUUGAUUGAUCCCUGGAGGAAGCACGGGCUAAGUUCGUG
rnacentral:rRNA from 1 species